UGCCAGCCGCCGCGGUAAUACGGAGGGUGCAAGCGUUAAUCGGAAUUACUGGGCGUAAAGCGCGCGUAGGCGGAUUGGUCAGUUGGAUGUGAAAUCCCCGGGCUCAACCUGGGAACUGCAUUCAAUACUGCCAGUCUAGAGUACGAGAGAGGGGAGUAGAAUUCAUGGUGUAGCGGUGAAAUGCGUAGAUAUUCGGAGGAACACCAGUGGCGAAGGCGGCUUUCUGGACCAAUACUGACGCUGAGAUGCGAAAGCGUGGGGAGCGAACAGGAUUAGAUA
rnacentral:rRNA from 1 species